UGGUGGACGCCUUAUACAUGCAAGUCGAACGAAGUAGCAAUACUUAGUGGCAGACGGGUGAGUAACAUGUAGGUAUCUUCCCUUUGGUGAGGAAUAACACGAGGAAACUUGUGCUAAUACCUCAUAAGUCUUUACGGAGAAAGCUUUAUGCGCCAAAGGAUGAGCCUGCACUUGAUUAGUUUGUUGGUGGGGUAAUGGCCUACCAAGACUGUGAUCAAUAGCUGAUCUGAGAGGAUGAUCAGCCACAUUGGGACUGAGACACGGCCCAAACUCCUACGGGAGGCAGCAGUAGGGAAUAUUGCACAAUGGAGGAAACUCUGAUGCAGCGAUGCCGCGUGAGUGAAGAAGGCCCUUGGGUUGUAAAGCUCUUUCGUCGGGGAAGAAAAUGACUGUACCCGAAUAAGAAGGUCCGGCUAACUUCGUGCCAGCAGCCGCGGUAAUACGAAGGGACCUAGCGUAGUUCGGAAUUACUGGGCUUAAAGAGUUCGUAGGUUGUUAAAAUAGUUGGUGGUGAAAUCCCAGAGCUUAACUCUGGAACUGCCAUCAAAACUUUUUAGCUAGAGUAUGAUAGAGGAAAGCAGAAUUUCUAGUGUAGAGGUGAAAUUCGUAGAUAUUAGAAAGAAUACCAAUUGCGAAGGCAGCUUUCUGGAUCAUUACUGACACUGAGGAACGAAAGCAUGGGUAGCGAAGAGGAUUAGAUACCCUCGUAGUCCAUGCCGUAAACGAUGUGUGUUAGACGUUGGAAAUUUAUUUUCAGUGUCGCAGCGAAAGCAUUAAACACACCGCCUGGGGAGUACGACCGC
rnacentral:rRNA from 1 species